GUGGGUUCUGUGUUGGCAGGGAAGAGCGUGUGUGUGUGUGUGUGUGUGUGUGUGUGUGUGUGUGUGUGUGGAGGAGCGUGAGGAUUAUUGGCGGCUGAGGAAAUUAAAUAUUUAUAUACUAGACUGACGCUCUGCUCAGCGGUGGCAAACAAAACCCCAUUAUAUGAGAUAGGGUUAGCACUGCUAGCCUGGUUAAACCACCACACUGAAUGCCCUAUCAAUGGUGAUACUGGUAGUCUAGUUUAACCAGUCUGAAUGUUGCACUCUAGUGAUACUGCUCUCCUGGUUAAAUCAGACUGAACGCUGCACUCAGUGGUGAGCCCUGAAGCACAAGCUCUAUUGAUGCAUUUGUUUGUAUAUCUGUUACGAUAUUGGUUUGAAAAUGGAUCAAUUGGUUUUUUUGUUUGUUCAAUAAUGGCCAAACCGAAAGGGAACAAAAUGCAGCAAGAGACCAUUCCAAGAGAUCAGUCUGUUGGGUCAGAAAUAAAAGGCCUUAAAAACCAUUUUCAAAAUCUUCAGUGAGGGAACAUGGACUGCUGAAAGGGCCGUAUGCCGUGUCAACAGAUCGCUGCCUGGCUGUGCGUGGCAGCAGUAAUGGGAGCUCUACUCUAACUCCAACCAAAGGUGUGACUGUGGUGUGUGGAUGCUAGGCUAGUUAAUCCCAAUGCCGUAGAGAAUGGAGGAGAGGGAUUAACCCAUGGUCCCUCACUGAAGAGUUUAACCCUAGCCUCCCUGAGGACAGUCCCUUUCUAAAGAAACCCAAUGUUGGAUUGGGGAAGAACGGGAACAGCCUUGCCCUCUCUCUCUCUCUCUGUUGGGGAUCCCCUCUUCUUCAUUGUCCCCAUCACGAAGGCCAGCUGUCAUUGUCCUCAGGAGGAUGAAGGAGGAAAAGAAACCAUUGAAGGGUGCAUCCAUCUGUGCCUGUCUGUCACCUCCCGGUGUGUUUUAAAGAGAUGGACCCCUCACUGUGGAACUCAAAUGACUUCAGGGCAAUAAGGGGGAUCUAAAUUGGGGAUCUAAGGGGGAUCAAAUGGCUUUAUCACCUCUAAAUGAGAUGCAAUUAGUCUUGAUUCAGGUUUGUUAUCUUACAGCCAUGACUGACUUUGUUAAAAAAUGUAGAUAAGAUAUAAGACAGGGAAACUCAGGCAUUGACAUGACUAAGCAUGGCCCAUUAACAAACAUGACUAAGCAUGGGCCAUUGACAAACAUUACUAAGCAUGGCCCAUUGACAAACAUGACUAAGCAUGGGCCAUUGACAAACAUGACUAAGCAUGGCCCAUUGACAAACAUGACUAAGCAUGGCCCAUUGACAAACAUGACUAAGCAUGGCCCAUUGACAAACAUGACUAAGCAUGGCCCAUUGACAAACAUGACUAAGCAUGGCCCAUUGACAAACAUGACUAAGCAUGGCCCAUUGACAAACAUGACUAAGCAUGGCCCAUUGACAAACAUGACUGAGCAUGGCCCAUUGACAAACAUGACUGAGCAUGGCCCAUUGACAAACAUGACUAAGCAUGGGCCAUUGACAAACAUUAGUAAGCAAGUGCAUGUCAACGUGUAUAACGUGUAUAACUAUUGCGUCAUGCUUCGCUAAGUGAUCUUGGUCCCAUCGAUUACAGGUUCAAUACCAAUGGGUGUUAAUGCAGUGCAACAACGCCAGGGUGGAACAAUAACAGACUAGCCAAGCAGAAGAGAUCUGAACACUAACAGCUCUUUUGUGAAAGUGUGAAAGAGCCAUGUUUUCCAUAGGCAGGUCAGGCGAGGUCAGUAGAGCUACGGGCAUGGAUCUGUAUAGAACCAACUGACUUGAACAAAUCAAAUUAAUUGUGUAGAUAUUGGCUACGUUCCAAUAUCCAUACUGGCAUGUCACUUCACACCACUUCACACCACGUGGUUUGCUAGUGUGGAUUUCAGAAUAGAGCAAAAUCCUCUAAGUCAGUCCCUGUGAAGAAGAUAUGUGUUGUAAUAACUAGACUGAUAUAAAUGUGCUGUGUAUCAGCAAAUGGAAUACCACUGACACUAUCAUGAAAACCUCUGUGAGAUAGCUAAUUCAUAACAGAAGAAUCUGAGAAUCUGACCUCUAACUAUUCUAUCGGACAGCAUAAUCUACUUUUUGAAUUACAAGAAGAGAAUAUGUAUAUCAAAUCAAAUUGCAUUUGUCACAUGGGCCAAAUACAACAGUUGUAGACCUUACCGUGAAAUGCUUACUUACAAGCCCAUAACCAACAACGCAGUUUUAAGAAAAUAGAGUUAAGAAAAUAUUUACUAAAUGAACAAAAGUAAAACAUAUAGAAAUAAAGUAUCACAAUAAUAAUAAUGAGGCUAUAUACAGGGGGUACCGGUACCGAGUCAAUGUGCGGGGGUACAGAAGUCAAGGUAAUUUAUACAUGUAAGUAGGAGUAAAGUGACUAUGCAUAGAUAAUAAACAGCGGGAAGCUUGUCCCCAGUGAUGUACUGGGCUGUAAGCACUACCCUCUGUAGCACCUUUCGGUCGGAUGCCGUGCAGUUGCCAUACCAGGCAGUGAUGCAACCGGUCAGGAUGCUCUCGAUGGUGCAGCUGUAGAACUUUUUGAUGAUCUGUACCAAGGCCAAAUCUUUUCAGUCUCAUGAGGGGGAAAAUAUGUUGUUGUGUACUCUUGACGACUUUAUUGGUGUGUUUGGACCAUGAUAGUUUGUUGGUGAUGUGGACACCAAGGAACUUGGAACUCUCAACCCGCUCCACUACAGCCCCGUCGAUGUGAAUGGGGCCCUGCUUUUUCUGUAGUCCCCAACCAUCUCCUUUGUCUUGCUCACAUUGAGGGAGAGGUUGUUUUCCUAGCACCACACUGUCAAGUCUCUGAUCUCCUCUUUAUAGUCUGUCUCAUCGUUGUCGGUGAUCAGGCCUACCACCGUUAUGUUGUUAGCAAACUUAAUUAAUGAUGGUGUUGGAGUCGUGCUUGGCCACGCAGUCGUUGGAGAACAGAGAGUACAGGAGGGGACUGAGCACGCACCCUUGAGGGACCCCCGUGUUGAGGAUCAGCGUGGCAGAUGUGUUGUUGCCUACCUGUACCACCUGGGGGUGGCCCGUCAGGAAAUUCAGGAUCCAGUUGCAGAGGGAGGUGUUUAGUCCCAGGAGAAUAUAUGGAGAACAUAAUAUGUUCAUUAUUCAUGUACCUUUUGGCAGCCCUCCAAAGAUGGGGAGAGAGAGAGAGACAAGGAGAGUGAGAGAGGUGCUGGCUGGGGGCCACCGCUAGCUAUCUCGUUUAGACUCACUACACCUGUACUUUGUUAUGAGAGACUGAGAGGGGACGGCAACAACAGAGCCUCUUCACAGAGCUCGUUCUUCUCACAGCUGUAGAGGACUGUUCUGUAGGUGGUCCCUUUCCCCACACACACCUGCUUGAAUGUGGAUAACCGGGCCUUCACCACGCUGUGCUGAGCAGAGCAGCUGCAGCACAAUAGCAGGGCUGAUAUUUAGAGCUGGGUCUGACAUCGUUUAACACCCAUGCUUUAACAGUAUCACUGCAUGAAAGGUAUUUGUGCGGUUUGGCCCCUGGCAGGUAAUGUCAGCCGUAUGCCAUAGCCUUGUGGAGUUAGGCUAAAGCGGGCGAUCAAAACACAUUGCUGAUAAGGCUAAUGUUGGAGCUGAUUGAUGGCGAUAGAGAUCCUUUUUUCAGAUGUGGAACUAAUUCCACAUAUGUGACUGCCUCUGUCAAACAGACGCUUAAGGGGGCAAAAUCUAAAUGUAGAUGUUACAUUUCAUCAUAGUAGGCUGAACUAACGUGUUAGAAAUGUGUGGUGGAUGUCAUGAUGUGGUUGACUCAACUCUAGUGGUUAGGGGUUGGAGGAAGGUGUCCAUGGCCACCUGUUUUCCCGACUGUGGUCACCAUAAAGGUCUGUCUUGGUAUAAGCCCUGUGUCCCAGUGGAUGUUGUCCACACCCCUCCCUACCUGGAAGUGAGUUAUACUGUCAGCAGCUUUUGUGAGUGGCCGGAUCCUACCCUUUCAUCCUGGGAUGAUGACUCAGAGGUCAGGAAAGACUGGGAGAGCAUUUCCACCUCUCCACCCACUUUACAAUCAACUCUUAGUCAAUGAGCAAUGGUUGGUCAUGGGACACAUUGAACUUAUCAUGCUACUUCAAUGGCUAUUGUGCCUUUCAAUUGAUGAUGGGUUAUGACAAAUUCAGGAAUGCUGGACACAUCUGAUGGAAAUUUUAAAAAACGUUUAAAAAAAACAGGUCCAAGGAACUGUUAAAGGUCCAGUAGGCAAUUUUGUGGGCUAUUCAACCAAAUUCACAUCAAAAUGUGAGUUAUCGAUCUGUCAUUCUCAUUGAAAGCAAGUCUGAUAAGCGGUAGAUCAGUUCUAUGUGCACUAUUUCUAUACUUCACGUUAUGAUUAGCUUUUGCAUCUUUUUACUUUCGGUUUUGUAAACCAGUUUCAAACAGCUGGAAAUACUAUAAUUUUAUCAAUAAAAAUAUACUGUAUUUCACAGCUGUUAAGAUUGUACAAUGAUUCUCUACACUAAGUGUUUUCAAAGUCUGAGACAUAGGGCCUCCCUUCAGAAAACCUAAAGACAGCCAUGCUGAAUGGAAUACAGUGCCUUGCAAAAGGAUUCAUAGUCAAAAUUGGUGAAGUGAAAUGGGAAAAAAAAUUCAAUGGAAAAGUGGUGAGUGCAUAUGUAUUCACCCCCUUUGCUAUGAAGCCCUUGAAUAAGAUCUGGUGCAACCAAUUACCUUUAGAAGUCACAUUAUUAGUUAGAUUGCACACAGGUGGACUUUAUUUAAGUGUCACAUGAUCUGUCACAUGAUCUGUCACAUGAUCUCAGUAUAUAUACACAAGCAAGUAACACCAUGAAGACCAAGGAGCUCUCCAAACAGGUCAGGGACAAAGUUGUGGAGAAGUACAGAUCAGGGUUGGGUUAUAAACAAAUAUCCGAAACUUUGAACAUCCCACGGAGCACCAUUUAAAUCCAUUAUUAAAAAAUGUAAAGAACAUGGCACCACAAUAAACCUGCCAAGAGAGGGCCACCAACAAAAACUCAUGGACCAGGCAAGGAGGGCAUUAAUCAGAGAGGCAACAAAGAGACCAAACAUAACCCUGAAGGAGCUGCAAAGCUCCGGAGCGGAGAUUGGAGUAUCACCUCUCAUCACCCCGAGAACACCAUCCCCACAGUGCAGCAUGGUGGUGCAGCAUCAUGCUGUGGGGAUGUUUUUUAUCGACAGGGACUGGGAAACUGGUCAGAAUUGAAGGAAUGAUGGAUGGCGCUAAAUACUGGGAAAUUCUUGAGGGAAACCUGUUUGUCUUCCAGAGAUUUGAGACUGGGACGGAGGUUCACCUUUCAGCAGGACAAUGACCCUAAACAUACUGCUAAAGCAACACUUGAGUGGUUUAAGGCAAAACAUUUAAACAUCUUGGAAUGGCCUAGUCAAACCCAGACCUCAAUCCAAUUGCGCAUCCUGUGGUAUGACUUAAAGAUUGCUGUACACCAGCGGAACCUAUCAAACUUGAAGGAGCAUGAGCAGUUUUGCCUUGAAGAAUGGGCAGAAAUCCCAGUGGCUAGAUGUGCCAAGCUUAUAGAGCCAUACCCCAAGAGAUUUGCAGCUGUAAUUGCUGCAAAAGGUGGCUCUUUAAAGUACUGACUUUGGGGUGAUGAAUAGUUACGCACGCUCAAAUUUUCAAAUAUUUUGCAUCUACAAAACGGUAGGCAUGUUGUGUAAAUCAAAUGAUACAAACCCCCAAAAAGUAUAUUUUAAUUCCAGGUUGUAAGGCAACAAAAUAGGAAAAAUGCCAAUGGGGGUGAAUACUUUCGCAAGCCACUGUAUAUUUAAAGGGUCAGUGUAGUCAAAAAUGUGAUUUCCUGAGUUGUUUUCACAAUAUGAGGUUGGAAUAAUAUUCGAAAUUGUGAAAAUUUGCAUAAUACCAUUUUAGCGGAAGAGAUGUUUGAAAAGACCUGAAAUUUCAGCUCAUUUAGCAUGGGUGGAGUUUUGGUCUGCCUGGUAACCAAAAUGAAUAGACCAAUAACAAAUAGUUUCAAACCUCUCUGCCAAUAACAGCUAGUUUUCAGAUUACAUGUCCCUCCCAUUAGGCUCCUCCAAUUAUGUCCCUCACUCAGACCACUCCCAGACAUUCCUAGCAAAAUGAUUGCUUGAGAAAUGGCUUUUUCUAAGAAGCUAUUUAUGCUUAUUUGUUACAAUUUUAAUUGGAGAAAAUAAUCACUGUAAGGUACUUAAUUGUUACCUGGAAAUGAUUUGAUGUUGAGAGAAAAUGUGUGCAUUGGACCUUUUUAAAGAUGAAUAUAUUCCAUUUAGUUUGUAAAAUAAUUUUUUAAGGCAUUAUUAUCAUGCUCCACAUUUGGGCAUAAACACAACUUAAACAUUCAAGUGACUUAUAAAAUAUUUGUUUCUAUUACAAAGUAUAUCUUUGCCCUUUUUUAAAAUGCAACUGCCCUUUUAUCAGCUCUAUUGAGCACUGAGGCUAAACCAUGCUAGAAAAUCCAAUUAUAGUUGCAUUUAAAAAAGGAUGCCAUGGAGGCAAUUUUAGGAGUUGAGAAACAAAUGUGGAAUACCCCUCUUUAUAAAUGUCCACGUGAUUGUAGCAAAACACAGGCCUUUCAUUUAUGAACUAUUAGAGUACAGAAUAGAGUUUGACUUGGCAUUCCUUUCAUGCCUCCCUUGAAACUCUCUGGGGGGCCCCCUGGGAAGGCGUUAGUGACAGGCAGGUUGACUCUUAACCCACAGUCCCCACGAUUAUAUCUGCGGGGCGGGCGAGUUUAGGGUCAUGAAAUAUUGUGUGGG
rnacentral:lncRNA from 1 species